GAAAAAAGAAAAAAAAAAUAUCAAAAAAUUUGAACACGCGACUGAACAAAACAAUAGUAGGAUGACCGACGAGCUUUGUGGCACAAAGCUGGACUACUGUUUUUUCUGGGCCAGUCACCGAGAACCCCGGUACCGAGAAUCAAAUAUUCAGGAAAAUGGAAGCAUUUGGAACACGCCGCUACGAAAAUGGAAUUCAUUGUAGCAGAAGCUGCUGUGAAAAAUUUUCCGGUUUGGGAGUGUUCGGAACCCGGCGCGAAGGGGCGCAUAUUCUUGGUGGGUGCGUUCCGGAAUACAGUCCGGCUUUAAGAGCGGUAGAAAGAACGACUGGUUCUCUUUUACCCGCAUAUUUGUUGCAUGGAAGAUAGACCUCGACCUCCAACUCCAUAGGACUUAUUCCGUCGAUCUGGCAUGCAUGGACGGUAAUUCUAGAUUGCUGACUCUUGAAAGUCAAGAACGAAAAGCUGCUUCCAGAGUUGGCCUUUCCAGUAACAGCAUCGGCGGUUUUAGAUUGUGUUGCUCCCAAGCCAGGCGGACUGGAAGUGAAACCCCGUUUUAAAUUGUAAUAAAUAAUGAAACAUAAAUAAAAAUAUCAUUUGUAUAAUAAUCUAAAUCUGA